rnacentral:misc_RNA from 1 species
ACUACGCGGGUAUCUAAUCCUGUUUGCUCCCCACGCUUUCGUGCAUGAGCGUCAGUGUUAUCCCAGGAGGCUGCCUUCGCCAUCGGUGUUCCUCCGCUUAUCUACGCAUUUCACUGCUACACGCGGAAUUCCACCUCCCCUCUGACACACUCUAGCUCGGUAGUUAAAAAUGCAGUUCCAAAAGUUAAGCUCUGGGAUUUUCACAUCUUUCUUUCCGAACCUUUGCGCACGCUUGCCGGUAAUUCCGAUUAACGCUUGCACCCUACGUAUUACCGCGGCUGCUGGCGUAGUUAGCCGGUGCUUAUUCUGCAGGUACCGUCAGUUGCACGGGGUAUUAUCGUGCGGUUUUAACUCCUGCCAAAAAGUUAACACAACCCCGAAGGCCUUCAUCGCACACGCGGGAUGGCUGGAUCGGGGUUUCCCCAUUGUCCAAAAUUCCCUGCUGCCUCCCGUA